rnacentral:rRNA from 1 species
UAGGGAAUCUUCGGCAAUGGGGGGAACCCUGACCGAGCAACGCCGCGUGAGUGAAGAAGGUUUUCGGAUCGUAAAGCUCUGUUGUUAAGGAAGAACGAGUGUGAGAAUGGAAAGUUCAUGCUGUGACGGUACUUAACCAGAAAGGGACGGCUAACUACGUGCCAGCAGCCGCGGUAAUACGUAGGUCCCGAGCGUUGUCCGGAUUUAUUGGGCGUAAAGCGAGCGCAGGCGGUUAGAAAAGUCUGAAGUGAAAGGCAGUGGCUCAACCAUUGUAGGCUUUGGAAACUGUUUAACUUGAGUGCAGAAGGGGAGAGUGUAAUUCCAUGUGUAGCGGUGAAAUGCGUAGAUAUAUGGAGGAACACCGGUGGCGAAAGCGGCUCUCUGGUCUGUACCUGACGCUGAGGCUCGAAAGCGUGGGGAGCGAACAGG